rnacentral:lncRNA from 1 species
ACUAAGCUCCUCCUCCCCUUAAAUCUGUCUGAAUAACCCUCUUAAACCCUUAGAGAUCAACUCACUUCCAUCUCCUAACCCUAGUCCUUCUCUCUCUAGCGAACCCUAGCCGCCCUAAAAUCCACACUGGUGGUCACCACCCCAAGCACCCCCAAAUCUUUAUCCUACACUCCCCAUUCCUCCUAAUAUGUAAUCCCCUAUCAAUUUCUCUAGAAACCUCCCCAAAAUCCAUAAUUUCCAGAUCCAAGAACCCCAAAAAACCUAGUUCCACCUUUUUCAAUUCUUGAAGUUUUGAGAACACAAUUCGAGUUGAAACUCACAUUAAUUGUUUGUUCUCAACCAGAACAAUCGAUUGACGUUACUUUCGGCUCAUUUCAAAAGUAUUCGGACUUAGUGGUUGACUAAACGUUUGGCACAAGGCCUUCUUGUUAUGUUUUAGGUAAUCUUGUGUCCUUUUUUUGUUUCCUUUUCUUCGGUUUUCACGAGUUUUAAUCUUUUUUUUUUUUACUUGUCAGCAUGUUAGGAUUUGAUGUCAUUUGAUUAUGUGUUUGCAUAAUUUAAUUAAUAGUUUAAUUGCAUGACUUUGAUUAGUUAAUUACUUUAGGUUAAUCAUCAAAAUUUUUUUAGGUUGUAAGUAUUUUCUGUUUUGAAUAGCAUAAUUCUUUCCCCAUUCUUGUUUCUUUUGUUCCUCUAAUUAAUUGUAUCUUAGCUGUUUUUUGUUUAAUUAGACUAGUCUUGUUAAUUGCCCUACGUUGGUAUUUAGGUCUAAAAAGAGGGGGUUGAGAGAGAUAGAAAGUAAGGAAUCUUUUGUUGAGCUGUUAAGAAUUGUUAGCAGGUAUUAGAAGGGAUUAAAGUACAAUUAGAUAAAACUUGGGGUGAAAAAGAGGUAAAAACAAAAGUAAAAAGAGCUGGAAAAUAAGAAGAAGCUUCUGGAUGAUGGACGACAGUUGUCCAAAUUUAUUAAGGGAAAGAUGCUGAAAAUUAGAUAAACAUCUGAAAAUAGAACAGCUGUCCAUUUUGGUUGAAAAAAAAGAUGCCUCAUCCCCUAAUUUUCAGCUGACAUUCCAUAUAUUCCCUCCCAUUUUCCCUCAUAUAGGACACCCUCCUACACUCUAUAAAAGAUACCUCACACUCCUUCACACAGAGGUGUAUUCACCCUGCUUUCCUCUAAAAGAAUACACUCGCAGAAAGCUUCUGAGAAAUCAAAAAACUUCUAAAUCUGAGAUCUUAAGCAGAAAAUUCCAAAAAAAAAGAGAAAACAAAAGGAAAACAGAAUAGAGAAACGAUUUAUGUGUUUGCUCAAGUCUGUGGCUGGUUGUUUCAUUUUCUGGGUUCAUAGAUGCUAUUUUGGUGUUAAAGUGUUGUUGAAUCUGACGCUUCUACUCUUGCUGAGCUCCAGUUUUCCUUUCUCUAGCCUUAUUUGCCUAUUCUAAGUUGCACUACUACUGUUAAGGUAUGUGCUUGUGGUCUCAAAUAAUUUAAUCACUAUUUGAAUAUCAUAUUGCUAUGAAAUCUCAGUUGUCUGUUCAUUUACAUGUAUACUGAAUGCUCUUUCAUAUUUGACUGCAAGUGUGAGUUCGGUUUGAAGUACCUGAUGUGAUGAAUGCCUAAAACCAUACAAGAAAUUUGAAUAAUAAUAAGAAACAAUCAGGAAAUCUAUUUUGUUUUAUUUUUAUCUUUGUUUGUCAAAAUUUUGAGUUGCUAUUGAUGGAUUCCUUACGCAUGAAGUUCUGCAAUUUCCCUGUAGGUUUGUGGUUUGUGGUUUAAGAAGUAACACGCCAAAAGUGUUGGUGACGAAUUUAGAAAUCUGACCAGUGCUUGGCCUGAUUUUUUAAAGUUCCACCACUUGAAAGUGGUCAUUUGUGUAAUAGUUUAAUUCUAGUUUAGUAUAGUUCCUAGUACAGAAAUGUAAUAAUCUGGUUCAUCAUUAGUGAAUGUAGUUGUGUCGAGUCAGUAGAUUGAUAGUUAUUUCAAACCAUGGAACGCUGUUGUAUAGCAAUUCAGUAUGAGUUUAGUGUUUAUAUCUGUUGAAAUGCUUAACUGUGGUAGUGAAGUAUAGAUAUAAUUCUUCCUGGCAUUUGUUAAGCUGAUUGCAUGCUGAAUUUCAUUUUUGUAGAAGAACCUGUUUGUUUCAGUAGUUAUUGUUUUCUUGCAAAGUUUUGGGUCUGGCCACUAUUCAGGCCCACUUUGGAACACCUUAUGGAUUGAAGUUUAAUUUAUGGCAAUAAAGGGGGCUGCCAAGCCCGAUUUUGUCAGGCUCACACUUUAUAUUAAUAAAAUGGCUCUUUGUUUUUGUAAUAGGCCGACACAUGAGUUUAGGUUUUUUUCAAAUUGUUAUUAUCUUUUAAAGUUUUUUUUACACACUUGAUCCUUUUUAACUAUUAUUUAAAAAAAAUAGAAUCAUUUAUUAUUUAUUCCAUAAAAAGCACUUUUUUCUCAUUAUUAGCAUAUUAUAAAAAUUAAGCCCAACAUUCAUCUUCUUCACUCCAUUUUUUAAAAUUUGAUGCAUAUGUGAAUGCCAUCUAAAUUCAAGAUGUAUUGAUUUAUACAUCUUUUUACGUUGUAUAUUAAGUAUCACUUUAAUUCAGAAUAUAUUUUUAUAUAUAUAAUUUUUGUAUAUUUAUUUGUGAAGUGCCAUCUUAUUUUAAGAUGUAUUUUUAAUUUAUAUAUCAAAUAUAUUUUAUAUGUCAAGUGCCAUUUUAAUUCUUGUGAUGUAGGUCAUCUUAGGUUUCAGAACCUAAUUCUGUGUUUCGAGGUCUCAAAAACCUUAUUUUAGCCUUCCUCAAUUUGCGUGUACAAUCCAGGUGUUCUUCGGAAGGCUUAUAUGUUAAAAACUAAAAAAAAUAUGAAAUUUUAGACUUAAAAAUUAAUUUGAGUUGACUUCGGUCAACGUUUUGAGUAAACGGAUCCGGAUCCGUAUUUUGACGGUCGCAGUGGGUCCGUGUCGAAAUAUGGGACCUGAACAUAUGCCCGAAAUCGAAUUCGGAAGUCUCCAUCUCGAAUUAUGAAUUUUUGUUGAAAAUUAAAAAUCUGAAAGUUUAAUGGAUUUUAAAAAUUAACUGAGGUUUGGUUUUGUUGAUACUGGGUCCGUAUUUUGGUUUCGGAGCCCGGUACAGGUCCACUAUAAUAUUUAUGAUUUGCUGUCGAAUUUGAUGAGAAACGGAGUUGGUUUGACGUGAUUCGUACGUCCAGUUGUUAAUAUAGAAAUUCUAAAGUUUCUUGAAAAUUUUAUUUGAUUUUGGUGUUCGAUUCAUACUUCUAGGUGUUAUUGCAGGCCUACAGUUUCGAAUAGACUACAGAGUGAAAAUUGGACUUAGAGCAUUGCUGGUGUGCUUCAGUUUUAUUGCAGGCCUCAGACCUCGCAAUUGCGAGGUCAAUCAUCGCAAUUGCGACCACUGAAGGGUUCGCAUUUGCGAGCUACUCAUCGCAUUUGCGAAGAGUAGCUUGGAAGGCCUGAGUUCGUAUUUGCGAACAAAGCUUGGCAUUUGCGAAGAGGGACAUGGGGAGACAGUGAUCGCAAAUGCGAUCAAAUGGUCACAUUUGCGGAGAUCAUUGUUCGUAAUUGCGAACCAUUCUUCGCAUUUGCGAAGAAAGCAGAAGUGUGGAGAGCUUCGCAUUUACGGGGUUCACAUUUGCGAACCCCGGGUAGCAAAUGCGACAUUUGCACCUGAUCAAAUAUGACUUAGACGGGAUUUUUGGUUCAUUCUUUAAAUUUGCAAACUCAAGAACCCUAGAGAAAAUUUUCCAGAGAACUUUUCUUCCCCAAAUCAUUGGUAAGUGAUUCUAAACUAGUUUCUUUCAAUCUUUCACUACUUUUCCUAAAAUUUCAACCUAAAAUCUAAAGUUUUCAUGGUAGAAAUUGGGGGGUUUGGGUAGAAUUAGGAAUUUUUGAAAAACAUGGGGAUUUAGACCUCAAAUUGAGGUCGGAUUCCAAAACAAAUUACAUAACCGGGCUUGGGAUGAAUGGGUAAUCGAAUUUUGGUCCAAAUUUCGGGUUUGGACCAAGCGGGCCCGGGUGUUGACUUUUGUAGUUUUGUUGACUUUUUCAAUAAUGGCCUAAAUUGAAUUCUUUACAAUCGUGGGUAGUUCCUAAGGCUUAAAUUGAAUCGUUUGGUUCGUAAAUUGCUAGAUUCUAUUUAUUCGGAGGCUUGUUUGAAAGGAAAAGUCAUGGCUGAUCUUUGAGUUUGGUCUUCGGAGCGAGAUAAGUGUCAUGGUUAACCUUGACUUGAGGGAAUACGACUUGUUUGUCUAUUUGCUACAUGUUUAAAUAUUGGGGAACCUCGUAUAUGUGAGGUGACAAGUACUUAUGCAUUGUAGUCGGGUUAAAGCAUGCAGACGGGGCUUGGUUUCUUGCAAUUAUAGCUUCAUUUGUUCAUAUUAUCCAUGUUUAGACUAGUAUUGUUAAAUUGAUCGUUCUUAUCAUAUUUACGGAUCUUCUGGUGAUAAUUGAGUAUUGAUUCCGAAGUUGAGGUUGAUAUUGUGGAACCAAAUGUUGAAGUAAGGCUUGUACUUGUUAUUCUAUCUCUCUGUUGUUAUUUGUUCAUUGUAUUAUAGUAAAGGGGAGUGUUAAUGCACGACGGGUGAUGUCGUGCCAUAUUGUGAGUGUUAAUACACGAAGGGUGAUGCCGUUUCAUAUUGUGAGUGUUAAUGCACGAAGGGUGAUGCCGUGCCAUAUUGUGAGUGUUAAUGAAGGGUGUUGCCGUAUCGUUUCUAUUGAUUUUAUGGUGAGGUUGAGAGUAAAAGCACGAAGGGUGAUACCGUACAUUUUUUCUUUACUGUGUUUACUUGUUCUUAUUGGUCCAUAGUAUAUUGGCGGUUCAAGUUACCAUUCUACUGUAGCUCUCUAUCUCGUAUUCCCCUCAGCAUGUUUCUCCCUCCCAAUAGUACAUGUUUAGCUGUUAUUUGUACAUAUAGUGUUAAAUUGCACAUGUUUGUUAUGUAGGUGUCUUUUCAUAGCCUCGUCACUAUUUCGUCGAGGUUAGGCUCGACACUUAUCAGUACAUGGGGUCGGUUGUACUGAUACUGCACUCUGUACUUCCUGUGCAGAUUUUGGUAUUUGUCCCAGCUGAUCGAGAGGCGUAGCAGCUCGGUCUNN